CGGGGGAGGCCGGAUCCUGGGCUGUGUCCCGGCGCCCUGUGCUCCGGGGCCUGCGCUGUUGGAUUCGCGCUCCCGUUGGCGCAGCCCCCU
rnacentral:pre_miRNA from 1 species